AGCCACGUAGCUCAGGAGUAGGGCACUUGCCUCAAAAGCAUGAGGACCUAGGUUCAAUUCCAGGUUUAGCCC
rnacentral:tRNA from 1 species